rnacentral:pre_miRNA from 1 species
UGUGUACUACCUCCGUUCCAAAAUACUUGACUUCCAUUUGUCCAAAAAUGGAUGUACCUAUAUACUAAAACAUGUCUAGAUACAUCUAUAUUUUGACAAAUAGAAGGCAUGUAUUGUGGAACGGAGGGAGUAGAAU